GACGUAGGGGGCCAGCGUUGUUCGGAAUUACUGGGUGUAAAGGGUUCGUAGGCGGUGCGGCAAGUUGGGAGUGAAAUCUCUGGGCUUAACCCAGAGGCUGCUUCCAAAACUGCUGUGCUUGAGUGUGGGAGAGGCGCGUGGAAUUGCAGGUGUAGCGGUGAAAUGCGUAGAUAUCUGCAGGAACACCCGUGGCGAAAGCGGCGCGCUGGACCACUACUGACGCUGAGGACCGAAAGCUAGGGGAUCAAACAGG
rnacentral:rRNA from 1 species